AUGAGGGCGUACGUGAAUGUGACGAUCACCGUCAUCUUGCUCAUCGGGUGCCUGGCGGUGAUCGGCGAGUUGGGUCGUGUCGAGGCCGGGAGAAGCUACGGAGAUGGGCGGCGGGCCGACGGCGGCGCGAGCAAGAUAUCGCUGAAGAUCUGCGUGCAUCGGUACUGCCACACCAAGGGUGAACCUAUCGCGACCGAAUGUUUCUGCUGCAUGAACUUGCCGGAGGCUCCGUGUUAUCUUCGGCGGGACGAAUGUCAGGCCAAUUGCCCCAACCUGCCACCCUCACUGCCCGCCUCCGCCGGCGGCGACGGAACCACCUACACGCAUGAACAGAUGGAUGGCAACUGA
rnacentral:rRNA from 1 species